CCGGAAUUUCUGGGUGUAAAGGGGGGGUAAGCGGGUUAUGAAGUUGGAAGUGGAAUAUCGCAAGUUAACUGCGGGGCUGCCUUCUGAUCCUGUAAUCUUGAGUGUCGGAUAGGAAAGUGGAAUUCCUAGUGUAGCGGUGAAAUGCGUAGAUAUUAGGAGGAACACCAGUGGCGAAGGCGACUUUCUGGACGAUAACUGACGCUGAAGCGCGAAAGCGUGGGGAGCAAACAGGAUUAAAUACCCUGGUAGUCCACGCUGGAAACGAUGGAUACUAGGUGUGGGAGGUAUCGACCCCUUCCGUGCCGGAAUUAACACAAUAAGUAUCCCACCUGGGGAGUACGGCCGCGAGGUUGAAACUCAGAGGAAUUGACGGGGGCCCCCACAAGCAGUGCAUUAUGUGGUUUAAUUCGAAGCAACGCGAACAACCUUACCAGGGCUUGACAUCCCGUGCAUAGUAUAGAGAUAUACGAAGUCCUUCGGGACACGGAGACAGGUGGUGCAUGGUUGUCGUCAGCUCGUGUCGUGAGAUGUUGGGUUAAGUCCCGCAACGAGCGCAACCGUUAUUGCCUGUUGCCAUCAUUAAGUUGGGCACUCAAGCGAGACUGCCCGCUGACAGAUCGGAGGAAGGUGGGGGAUGACGUCAAAUCAUCAUGCCCCUUAUGUCGUGGGGCUACACACGUACUACAAUUGGCUGUUACACAGAGGGAAGCAACACCGCGAGGUGGAGCAAACUCCCCAAAAACAGUCUCAGUUCGGAUUGCAGGCUGACACUCACCUGCAUGAAGUUCAGAAUCGCUAGUAAUCGCAGAUCAC
rnacentral:rRNA from 1 species